GACGAACGCUGGCGGCGUGCUUAACACAUGCAAGUCGAACGCUGAAGCUCAGCUUGCUGGGUGGAUGAGUGGCGAACGGGUGAGUAACACGUGAGUAACCUGCCCUCUUCUUUGGGAUAACGCCCGGAAACGGGUGCUAAUACUGGAUAUUCACUGAUUCUCGCAUGGGGGUUGGUGGAAAGGUUUUUUCUGGUGGGGGAUGGGCUCGCGGCCUAUCAGCUUGUUGGUGGGGUGAUGGCCUACCAAGGCUUUGACGGGUAGCCGGCCUGAGAGGGUGACCGGUCGCAUUGGGACUGAGAUACGGCCCAGACUACUACGGGAGGCAGCAGUGGGGAAGAUUGCACAAUGGGCGAAAGCCGGAUGCAGCGACGCCGCGUGAGGGAUGGAGGCCUUCGGGUUGUAAACCUCUUUCGCUCAUGGUCAAGCCGCAGCUUUGGGUUGUGGUGAGGGUAGUGGGUAAAGAAGCGCCGGCUAACUACGUG
rnacentral:rRNA from 1 species